rnacentral:rRNA from 1 species
GACGAACGCUGGCGGCGUGCUUAACACAUGCAAGUCGAACGGAAAGGCCCUGCUUUUGUGGGGUGCUCGAGUGGCGAACGGUUGAGUAACACGUGAGUAACCUGCCCUUGACUUUGGGUUAACUUCAGGAAACUGGGGCUAAUACCGGAUAGGAGCUCCUGCUGCAUGGUGGGGGUUGGAAAGUUUCGGCGGUUGGGGAUGGACUCGCGGCUUAUCAGCUUGUUGGUGGGGUAGUGGCUUACCAAGGCUUUGACGGGUAGCCGGCCUGAGAGGGUGACCGGCCACAUUGGGACUGAGAUACGGCCCAGACUCCUACGGGAGGCGGCAGUGGGGAAUAUUGCACAAUGGGCGGAAGCCUGAUGCAGCAACGCCGCGUGCGGGAUGACGGCCUUCGGGUUGUAAACCGCUUUCGCCUGUGACGAAGCGUGAGUGACGGUAAUGGGUAAAGAAGCACCGGCUAACUACGUG